UACGAAGGGGGCUAGCGUUGCUCGGAAUCACUGGGCGUAAAGCGCACGUAGGCGGAUCGUUAAGUCAGGGGUGAAAUCCUGGAGCUCAACUCCAGAACUGCCUUUGAUACUGGCGACCUUGAGUUCGGGAGAGGUGAGUGGAACUGCGAGUGUAGAGGUGAAAUUCGUAGAUAUUCGCAAGAACACCAGUGGCGAAGGCGGCUCACUGGCCCGGUACUGACGCUGAGACGCGAAAGCGUGGGGAGCAAACAGG
rnacentral:rRNA from 1 species